rnacentral:rRNA from 1 species
AUUGAACGCUGGCGGCAGGCCUAACACAUGCAAGUCGAACGAGUGGCGGACGGGUGAGUAAUGUCUGGGAAACUGCCCGAUGGAGGGGGAUAACUACUGGAAACGGUAGCUAAUACCGCAUACCAUCGGAUGUGCCCAGCUGGGAUUAGCUAGUAGGUGGGGUAACGGCUCACCUAGGCGACGAUCCCUAGCUGGUCUGAGAGGAUGAACAGCCACACUGGAACUGAGACACGGUCCAGACUCCUACGGGAGGCAGCAGUGGGGAAUAUUGCACAAUGGGCGCAAGCCUGAUACAGCCAUGCCGCGUGUAUGAAGAAGGCCUUCGGGUUGUAAAGUACUUGCAGCGAGGAGGCGUUACUCGCAGAAGAAGCACCGGCUAACUCCGUGCCAGCAGCCGCGGUAAUUC